rnacentral:lncRNA from 1 species
GAUCACUUUAUACCUCUUGUCCCUCCAGGUGCUCACUGGGUCUUUUGACACAGUCUGAGAGGAGAUGCUUCACAACAUGUAUCAGGUUUAUCUCCAGUUAUCAACCAAAAACAGUUUCAAGCAAAAAAAAAAAAAAAAAAAAAAAAAAAAAAAAAAAAGUGCUUUCCUCACAAAGCAUUGCCAGGUGAUUUAUAACACUAGUGUUAGCCCACUGGACCAGCUAUGGGGCCUGGAGACUGUUCUGUACCUCUGCACAGUGAUAGUGCUCUCUCCCACCUUUUAUACUCAUAGAACACAAAUGUCCCAUCUGCAAGAGAAGUAACAUGAAAAGGAGCAACAUCUGCAACAGCUGUGUGUAUCAGUAGCUAACCCUUGGGAGGACUCAUGACUGGGCUCUUUAGAAAGGUCCUGAUCAAAAUUUAAAGCAAAGGCAGCAACCCACUUUAAGAAUAGAGACACAACACAUGUUUUGAAAAGGUAUCUUUUGUGAAACAGCA